UACGGGGGGGGCAAGCGUUGUUCGGAAUUACUGGGCGUAAAGGGCUCGUAGGCGGCCCACUAAGUCCGACGUGAAAUCCCCAGGCUUAACUUGGGAACUGCGUCGGAUACUGGUGGGCUUGAAUCCGGGAGAGGGAUGCGGAAUUCCAGGGUGUAGCGGUGAAAUGCGUAGAUAUCUGGAGGAACACCAGGUGGCGAAGGCGGCGAUCC
rnacentral:rRNA from 1 species